rnacentral:rRNA from 1 species
GAACUGGAGAGUUUGAUCCUGGCUCAGAAUAAACGCUGGCGGCGUGCCUAACACAUGCAAGUCGGACGAGAA